rnacentral:misc_RNA from 1 species
UUAAGCAGAUCAGGAAUUUCCUCUCUUGAUGUCACCAAUCCAAUAAGUCUUCCACCAACAGAUUCUGGGAUGGCUGAAGUGAUAACCUUGUGCAGAAUUUCAUUUGACCGCUUGGCCUCCUUUCCUCCUUUCAAGAGGAGCGCAUUCCCACUUCGAAUUGCCAAGGAAGAUAUCUGCACCAGCGCAUCUGGUCGAGACUCAAAGAUAAUCAGAAGAACACCCAGAGGAGAUGAUGUUUUUUCUAAGAGGAGUCCAUCAGCAAGCUCAGUUCUUUUCAAAACAUGACCAAUUGGAUCUUCCAUGUUUGCAAGCACACGAAUUGAAUUUGCAAGACUUUUA